CCAGAAAGCAUCUGUUAAAGCAAAGUUUUAUCUGGAAAUAGAGCUUUGAAGGCAUGGGACACAGGUGGAUGCAUUUUGAAUGGAGAAGAUUGGAAGGAAGGAUGGAAGUUGUGAGGCUGCUGGUGUGGACAGUCCCAGGCAGGGGUACCUGGGGGGAAAAGCUGCUGAAAGGCAGUAAGGCAGUAUCAAAAGAGGUAUAUGCUGCAUCUUUCAUAAGGUUCC
rnacentral:lncRNA from 1 species